UAGUCCACGCCCUAAACGAUGAUUACUCGAUAUUGGCGAUACACAGUCAGUGUCCAAGCGAAAGCGUUAAGUAAUCCACCUGGGGAGUACGUUCGCAAGAAUGAAACUCAAAGGAAUUGACGGGGGCCCGCACAAGCGGUGGAGCAUGUGGUUUAAUUCGAUGAUACGCGAGGAACCUUACCAGGGCUUAAAUGCAGAACGACCGAUCUGGAAACAGAUCUUUCUUCGGACGGUUUGCAAGGUGCUGCAUGGUUGUCGUCAGCUCGUGCCGUGAGGUGUCGGGUUAAGUCCCAUAACGAGCGCAACCCCUAUUUCUAGUUGCUAACAGGUUAAGCUGAGGACUCUAGAGAAACUGCCGGCGUAAGCCGAGAGGAAGGUGGGGAUGACGUCAAAUCAUCACGGGCCCUUACGUCCUGGGGCCACACACGUGCUACAAUGGUCGGUACAGAGGGGCAGCUACCCCGCGAGGGGAUGCGAAUCUC
rnacentral:rRNA from 1 species